CGUCGAGUGGCGAACGGGUGAGUAACACGUGGGUGAUCUGCCUUGCACUCUGGGAUAAGCUUGGGAAACUGGGUCUAAUACCGGAUAGGAACCGUCUUUAGUGUGGUGGUUGGAAAGUUUUUUCGGUGCAAGAUGAGCUCGCGGCCUAUCAGCUUGUUGGUGGGGUAAUGGCCUACCAAGGCGUCGACGGGUAGCCGGCCUGAGAGGGUGUACGGCCACAUUGGGACUGAGAUACGGCCCAG
rnacentral:rRNA from 1 species